rnacentral:rRNA from 1 species
GGGUUGUGAGGUUAAGCGACUAAGCGUACACGGUGGAUGCCCUGGCAGUCAGAGGCGAUGAAGGACGUGCUAAUCUGCGAUAAGCGUCGGUAAGGUGAUAUGAACCGUUAUAACCGGCGAUUUCCGAAUGGGGAAACCCAGUGUGUUUCGACACACUAUCAUUAACUGAAUCCAUAGGUUAAUGAGGCGAACCGGGGGAACUGAAACAUCUAAGUACCCCGAGGAAAAGAAAUCAACCGAGAUUCCCCCAGUAGCGGCGAGCGAACGGGGAGCAGCCCAGAGCCUGAAUCAGUGUGUGUGUUAGUGGAAGCGUCUGGAAAGGCGCGCGAUACAGGGUGACAGCCCCGUACACAAAAAUGCACAUGCUGUGAGCUCGAUGAGUAGGGCGGGACACGUGGUAUCCUGUCUGAAUAUGGGGGGACCAUCCUCCAAGGCUAAAUACUCCUGACUGACCGAUAGUGAACCAGUACCGUGAGGGAAAGGCGAAAAGAACCCCGGCGAGGGGAGUGAAAAAGAACCUGAAACCGUGUACGUACAAGCAGUGGGAGCACGCUUAGGCGUGUGACUGCGUACCUUUUGUAUAAUGGGUCAGCGACUUAUAUUCUGUAGCAAGGUUAACCGAAUAGGGGAGCCGAAGGGAAACCGAGUCUUAACUGGGCGUUAAGUUGCAGGGUAUAGACCCGAAACCCGGUGAUCUAGCCAUGGGCAGGUUGAAGGUUGGGUAACACUAACUGGAGGACCGAACCGACUAAUGUUGAAAAAUUAGCGGAUGACUUGUGGCUGGGGGUGAAAGGCCAAUCAAACCGGGAGAUAGCUGGUUCUCCCCGAAAGCUAUUUAGGUAGCGCCUCGUGAAUUCAUCUCCGGGGGUAGAGCACUGUUUCGGCAAGGGGGUCAUCCCGACUUACCAACCCGAUGCAAACUGCGAAUACCGGAGAAUGUUAUCACGGGAGACACACGGCGGGUGCUAACGUCCGUCGUGAAGAGGGAAACAACCCAGACCGCCAGCUAAGGUCCCAAAGUCAUGGUUAAGUGGGAAACGAUGUGGGAAGGCCCAGACAGCCAGGAUGUUGGCUUAGAAGCAGCCAUCAUUUAAAGAAAGCGUAAUAGCUCACUGGUCGAGUCGGCCUGCGCGGAAGAUGUAACGGGGCUAAACCAUGCACCGAAGCUGCGGCAGCGACGCUUAUGCGUUGUUGGGUAGGGGAGCGUUCUGUAAGCCUGCGAAGGUGUGCUGUGAGGCAUGCUGGAGGUAUCAGAAGUGCGAAUGCUGACAUAAGUAACGAUAAAGCGGGUGAAAAGCCCGCUCGCCGGAAGACCAAGGGUUCCUGUCCAACGUUAAUCGGGGCAGGGUGAGUCGACCCCUAAGGCGAGGCCGAAAGGCGUAGUCGAUGGGAAACAGGUUAAUAUUCCUGUACUUGGUGUUACUGCGAAGGGGGGACGGAGAAGGCUAUGUUGGCCGGGCGACGGUUGUCCCGGUUUAAGCGUGUAGGCUGGUUUUCCAGGCAAAUCCGGAAAAUCAAGGCUGAGGCGUGAUGACGAGGCACUACGGUGCUGAAGCAACAAAUGCCCUGCUUCCAGGAAAAGCCUCUAAGCAUCAGGUAACAUCAAAUCGUACCCCAAACCGACACAGGUGGUCAGGUAGAGAAUACCAAGGCGCUUGAGAGAACUCGGGUGAAGGAACUAGGCAAAAUGGUGCCGUAACUUCGGGAGAAGGCACGCUGAUGUGUAGGUGAAGUCCCUCGCGGAUGGAGCUGAAAUCAGUCGAAGAUACCAGCUGGCUGCAACUGUUUAUUAAAAACACAGCACUGUGCAAACACGAAAGUGGACGUAUACGGUGUGACGCCUGCCCGGUGCCGGAAGGUUAAUUGAUGGGGUCAGCGCAAGCGAAGCUCUUGAUCGAAGCCCCGGUAAACGGCGGCCGUAACUAUAACGGUCCUAAGGUAGCGAAAUUCCUUGUCGGGUAAGUUCCGACCUGCACGAAUGGCGUAAUGAUGGCCAGGCUGUCUCCACCCGAGACUCAGUGAAAUUGAACUCGCUGUGAAGAUGCAGUGUACCCGCGGCAAGACGGAAAGACCCCGUGAACCUUUACUAUAGCUUGACACUGAACAUUGAGCCUUGAUGUGUAGGAUAGGUGGGAGGCUUUGAAGUGUGGACGCCAGUCUGCAUGGAGCCGACCUUGAAAUACCACCCUUUAAUGUUUGAUGUUCUAACGUUGACCCGUGAUCCGGGUUGCGGACAGUGUCUGGUGGGUAGUUUGACUGGGGCGGUCUCCUCCUAAAGAGUAACGGAGGAGCACGAAGGUUGGCUAAUCCUGGUCGGACAUCAGGAGGUUAGUGCAAUGGCAUAAGCCAGCUUGACUGCGAGCGUGACGGCGCGAGCAGGUGCGAAAGCAGGUCAUAGUGAUCCGGUGGUUCUGAAUGGAAGGGCCAUCGCUCAACGGAUAAAAGGUACUCCGGGGAUAACAGGCUGAUACCGCCCAAGAGUUCAUAUCGACGGCGGUGUUUGGCACCUCGAUGUCGGCUCAUCACAUCCUGGGGCUGAAGUAGGUCCCAAGGGUAUGGCUGUUCGCCAUUUAAAGUGGUACGCGAGCUGGGUUUAGAACGUCGUGAGACAGUUCGGUCCCUAUCUGCCGUGGGCGCUGGAGAACUGAGGGGGGCUGCUCCUAGUACGAGAGGACCGGAGUGGACGCAUCACUGGUGUUCGGGUUGUCAUGCCAAUGGCACUGCCCGGUAGCUAAAUGCGGAAGAGAUAAGUGCUGAAAGCAUCUAAGCACGAAACUUGCCCCGAGAUGAGUUCUCCCUGACCCUUUAAGGGUCCUGAAGGAACGUUGAAGACGACGACGUUGAUAGGCCGGGUGUGUAAGCGCAGCGAUGCGUUGAGCUAACCGGUACUAAUGAACCGUGAGGCUUAACCUUACAACGCCGAAGGUGUUU